rnacentral:rRNA from 1 species
CACGUAGGGCGCGAGCGUUGUCCGUGAAUUAUUGGGCGUAAAGAGCUCGUAGGCGGCCUGUUGCGUCCGCUGUGAAAGCCCGGGGCUUAACCCCGGGUCGGCAGUGGAUACGGGCAGGCUAGAGGUAGGUAGGGGAGAAUGGAAUUCCCGGUGUAGCGGUGAAAUGCGCAGAUAUCGGGAGGAACACCGGUGGCGAAGGCGGUUCUCUGGGCCUUACCUGACGCUGAGGAGCGAAAGCGUGGGGAGCGAACAGG